UUCACACUGGGGGUGUUUGCUGCGUUCUUUGGCUGAGACAGCCCUGAUGAAGCUAGUUCUGAAAGGAGGGCAAAGUACACCCUGAGAGGAGGGUUCUGGACUGGCAGCAACAGCCUCUGCAUAGGCAAGCUCAUGACUCAUCCAAUCACACCUGAGACUGAGAGGAGGAGUGGAGAGACAGAGAGAAGAAGGGGAGUCCGAGAGUGCGGUGCAUAUUCCACACAUGCAUACUCCAGGCCUGGGAUGAGUUGGCUGCUAAGCAGGACAGACAGCAGUGGCAAAAACACCUGGCGGGCCAGAUAAAUGUCCUUGGCGGGCUGCAUGUGGCCUGCGGCCUGUAGUUUAAGGACCCCUGCCCUAGAGUAUUUUCAGAGAUAGUCUCUGUACGACUGAUGGAGCCCUGUUUUCUUCUUCUCCUUGUCAAGGUACCAGAGCAAGAUCAUAUGAAAAGGAGGUCAUUUUACUGGAGAAAGUGUGCUUGGUGGAGUGACCCAGGCUGUGAAGUGAAGAUAAUGUUUUCCCUAUCCACUUAACACCUUGUCUUUGGGAAAUGGACAAAAAGUUUACUCACAGUCAAAGUCAAAGAAGCUCAACUUUGCAAGUGAGGGGACUCCUUACAUCUUGUUGUAAGGAUCCUCAAGCACCUCCACGGAGAGGACCUGAGGCCUCCUGCAAAAGCUGGGCUGAACUUCCAAGCCAGGUGGAUGAAUUGUCUUUGAAGCAGAUCUUUCAGACAUAGUCAAACCUUCAGAUGACUGUAGUCUCAGCUAACAACUGGACUUAUAAGAAAGACUGGACUAAAAUGACAUAGCUCACCAUUCCAAAACUUUUGACCCACAGAAAAUGUUAGUUUGUACAGCACUGAGCAAUUUGUAAACCACUAUGGAAUAUGAGACUGACCCACUGGACGCUGCAUGCAGGGCCACUGGAGUACUGUCAGAGGACAAAGCCAGCACAGAGCAAGUGGAGCCAGGGUGAGGAAGAGACAGGUGGAAUUCUGACGACACCGGCUUAUCAGUCCAAGCCUGUAUACUUUGGGACUAUUAUAUGAAACACUAAGUUUCCUUUUGUGAUUAAGCCACUUUGAUUGGUUUUUCAGACACCUUAAGCUAGACUAGAGUCCCAACUGAUAACAGCUCUCCAGAGAUAGAUGUGGAUGGGGCAGGGGAGUACAAACAGUAGCCAACUCCUUCUACCAUUUUCCUCUGGCAGCGAGCCAUCUCUGUUCUGUUGCAUGGUCCCACUGGCCUCUGUUUGAAGAAGCCAUAACAUGAGACGUGCUGCCUCCAGAUCUUUUCAGGAAGGCGGACUGCAGGGAAAGUGAUCGUGAACUGCUGGAGAAUGUGUGGGUCUUAGUGUGAGUCCCACUUCCCAGAAGUGGGCAGGCCCAGUUCUCUGGAUUCUAUUGUGUUGAAUAUCCAUUAAUCUUUAAUUUCUUCUUCUCCUUCCAGAUAACUCCAGAAACAUUUAAUU